CUACGGGUUGCUCCAGUGAGGAAUAUUGCACAAUGGGGGGAACCCUGAUGCAGCAAUGCCGCGUGGAGGAUGACGCAUUUCGGUGUGUAAACUCCUUUUAUAUGUCAAGAAAAUGACGGUAGCAUAUGAAUAAGCGCCGGCUAACUCCGUGCCAGCAGCCGCGGUAAUACGGAGGGCGCAAGCGUUACUCGGAAUCACUGGGCGUAAAGGACGCGUAGGCGGGUUGAAAAGUCAGGUGUGAAAGCCUACAGCUUAACUGUAGAACUGCACUUGAAACUCUCAACCUAGAGUAUGGGGGGGGCAGAUGGAAUUAGUGGUGUAGGGGUAAAAUCCGUAGAUAUCACUAGGAAUACCUAAAGCGAAGGCGAUCUGCUGGAACAUUACUGACGCUAAGGCGUGAAAGCGUGGGGAGCAAACAGGAUUAGAUACCCCUGUAGUC
rnacentral:rRNA from 1 species